rnacentral:tRNA from 1 species
GCCUGGGUGGCUCAGGCGGUUAAGCGUCUGACUUCCGCGCAGGUCAUGAGAGCUCACGGUUUGUGGGUUCGAGCCCCGCCUUGGGCU